rnacentral:rRNA from 1 species
UACGGAGGGUGCAAGCGUUGUUCGGAAUCACUGGGCGUAAAGCGCGUGUAGGCGGCUACUUAAGUUUGGUGUGAAAGCCCUGGGCUCAACUCAGGAAGUGCACUGGAUACUGGGUAGCUGGAGUACCGGAGAGGAGGGUGGAAUUCCUGGUGUAGCGGUGAAAUGCGUAGAUAUCAGGAGGAACACCGGUGGCGAAGGCGGCCCUCUGGACGGAUACUGACGCUGAGACGCGAAAGCGUGGGGAGCAAACAGG